UUGGAGGGCAAGCUGGUGCCAGCAGCCGCGGUAAUUCCAGCUCCAAUAGCGCAUAUUAAAGUUGUUGCAGUUAAAAAGCUCGUAGUUGAAUUUCGGGAUCAAAUAAUCGGUCGUGCCUCCGGUACGUACUGGUUUUAUUGGUUCCUCCCUUCUGACGAACCAUGAUGUCAUUAAUUUGAUGUGGUGGAGAAUCAGGACUGUUACCUUGAAAAAAUUAGAGUGUUUAAAGCAGGCUAACGCUUGAAUACAUUAGCAUGGAAUAAUGAAAUAGGACGUUCGACCCUAUUUUGUUGGUUUCUAGGAUCGACGUAAUGAUUAAUAGGGAUAGUUGGGGGCAUUAGUAUUCAAUUGUCAGAGGUGAAAUUCUUGGAUUUAUUGAAGACUAACUACUGCGAAAGCAUUUGCCAAGGAUGUUUUCAUUAAUCAAGAACGAAAGUUAGGGGAUCGAAGACGAUCAGAUACCGUCGUAGUCUUAACCAUAAACUAUGCCGACUAGGGAUCGGAUGAUGUCAAUUUUUUAAUGACUCAUUCGGCGCCUUACGGGAAAC
rnacentral:rRNA from 1 species